AUUAACAAGUAACAAACGUGUCAAUAGGUUGAAUUGGUUUCAAGUUAGAAAAAGAUGGAGCUAAAAUAGAUUAGUGGCAUUACCAUGCAUAGAGUUAGUUAAGCACUUUACUUCUUUGAACGUGUGCAUUGGAGACUUUUAAGGGAGCAAAUUUAAAAUUCAAAACAAAGAGACUUAGUAAAAGAUAAGUUGAUGAGUUGUAUACGCGUAACACUUUUGUUUCAAAUUUCUCUAGCAUAUUUUAUUGAAGCUUCAACCAAGAGAGCACCAAGGAUGAGUCUUGGAAACCAUGUGUCAUAUUAUGACUGCUCCAUUAUACAUUUUAACAAUUAGAAUUCAAAUUUUGAAUCUAGCAUUUACGGCUACUCAUGUGGGUGGUUAGUUUUUAGGCCUAUAUAUAGAUGGAACCUUUGUGUUUCAUCAUAGAAAGUAACUCAAACUACUCACUCUAGUUCAUACUAAAUUCAUAGUCGAACCACCAUUUACCAUUUCUUCCUCAUUAGUUGUUUUAAGGUUGGAAACUCUAGCAUUCUUUAGCUAGUUUCAGCAUCAACCAAUUUACCACCAACACCACUAUAGCCACGCCACCAUCACCUUCUCAAAACUAUUACUACCAUCCGCCAUCAACUCCUCUCAUAACUAUCACAGCCAGCCUCUCAUAAAUAUAUAUAUAUAUAUACAUCUUUCUUUCAUCAUACUUGCAUCACCAUCUAUCAAAUUCUACGUUCAAGUUCUAGUGCUCAACUAGAUCUCAUUGGAAGCUAAUUAAGGUUUCUCAUAAGCCAGUUAUUGGUUCUCAAGGGCCACUAUUGCAAUCAAGGCUAAGACUCCACAUUGAGACCAAGGUAACUGAAAGUUUAGAAAGCCGGUGGCGAGUGGAACUUUGGAUGCUUGUGUGUGUGAACUCGCUGAGGACCAUAUAACUGCGGGCGGUCUAGGGCGCUCUAUUUAUUUAUUUACGUUAUUAAACUUAUGUCGCAAUUAUUUUAGUUAUUAAUUAUUAUGUCUUUUGUACGAAAACUGGCCAGUUGUGAACAUUUUUAAGUAUCAAAUAAAAAUGCGACAAUAUGAUUUUCCGCGUUUAA